AACGAACGCUGGCGGCAUGCCUAACACAUGCAAGUCGAACGAGACCUUCGUGCCUAUUGGCGCACGGGUGCGUAACGCGUGGGAACCUGCCCUUAGGUUCCGAAUACCUCCCCGAAAGGGGUCCUAAUACCGGUUAAUCUCUUCGCACCAAAGAGUUAUCGCCUGUUGGUGGGCCUUCGUUAGAUUAGCUAGUUGGGAGGGUAAAAGCCUACCAGGGCGACGAUCCAUAGCUGGUCUGAGACGACGACUAGCCGCACUGGGACUGAGACACGGCCCAGAGUGCGACAGGAGGCAGGAGUGGGGAAUAUUGGGCAAAGGGCGAAAGCAUGAGCCAGCAAUGCGGGGUGAGGGAUGAAGGGUUGAGGGUUGUAAAGCUCUUUUACCCGGGAUGAUAGUGACAAAACGGGGAGAAUGAGCCGCCGCAAAAUCCG
rnacentral:rRNA from 1 species